AAUAGACCAAUCAGCAAGAUGUGGGUGGGGUCAGAUAAGGGAAUAAAAGCAGGCUGCCUGCGCUACCAGUAACAACCGAGAUCAGAUCUACUCUUUAAGUGUGGAAGGUUUAUUCUUUUACUCUGCAAUAAAUGUUGAUCAUUCUGGCUGAAUGCUGUGUUUUUGAGCCGUUAAACUUAUUGCGGAGGUCUGCGGCUUUACUUCCGACGCCAACAAGAGCAUGAACACACCAGGAAGAAUGAACAAUUCCAGACACGGUGCAUUUCAGACACGGUGCGUUUAAGAACUGUAACAGUCAUCCCGCAGCUCUGCAAUUUCACUCUUGAAGACAAGAAGAACCCAAACCUACCGAAAGGAAGAAGCUCCAGACACAUGAAAGUCUGAAGGAACAAACCCCGGUCAUACCAUCUUUAAGAACUGUAACACUCACAAGUGUCCGCGAUUUCAUUCUUGGAGUUUGAGACCAAGAGCACACCAAUUCUAGGGACACAACCACUGAGACUCACUGGCUUGCGAAGUAUUUAUAUCCCUCACAAAAAUGCUCCCCUCACACUCCAGGCAUUGUCUGUGUUCUGCAGUGGCGCCAGGACAUGUGGGGGAGGGACUGGGCACAGCAAAUGGUGCAAGUUUAUGAACCCAGGAGACCUAGUCUGGAGACCCAGCUCCUUACUGCUGUGUGAUUGUGGGUCCAGGCCAUCAACAUGUCCAGCCGCUUCGAGGAGGAGAUCAAGGCGGAGCAGGAGGAACGGAAGAAGCAGGCGGAGGAGAUGAAGCAGCGGAAAGUGGCCUUCAAGGAGCUGCAGUCCACAUUUAAGUAGCGGGGGCUGCACCGACCGCCCUGCUCCGGCCCCAGCGCGGAGGGCGAGGGCGGCGCAUGGGAGGCUGAGCCUGAAUCCUUGCCUCUGUCUGAUGGGACCACUACUAAAAACCUAAAAUGUCUGUGAAUGGAGCAAGUUCAGGGGUCUCAUGGAGGUGGCCCGGCCCCUCCCCGCUCCCUUCUGCUCUUUGCGAGGCCGCGACACCGGCUCCCUGCCUGGCCCGGCCCUGCCUGGCCCGGCCCUCCCUGGCAAUCCUUGGGCUGUCUUGCACCCCUGACUGCCCCGCAGUCUGCUCCAGCACUGCCCCUGGCCCAGCUCGUGGCACUAGGUCCCUCCUGGACCCAUGUGCCUGCCCACCACCAUCUCCAUCCCCUCGACCUGGGAACCCCUGCCCUCCUCCAGCAGGCCGCACCGCCCCCGGGGCCCCCUGCCAGCCCCUUCCCAGACUGGGAGACAGCAGAAGAGAGAGAAUCAGGGCUGCCCCCACAGAGUGGGACCCAAGGGGCUUAUUGGAGGCACGAGGGGACCCCUCCCCAGGGGCUCUUCCUCCACCUCUGCCUCUUCCAUCUACUGAAAUGGGAGAGGGGGUGGGGAGCUUCUGUUCUGGUGAAGGGACCUAGGCCCCCAGCAUCCCAUGCUGACUUGGAGACCCCCAGAUCUCUGGGGCCCAGCCAGGCAGGGUGUGGGGGCAGCUGUGCCAAUCUACGUCACACGCCCACCCCCUGCCGGGCAUGCCGUGGGAUCCUGGGCAGGGAAGGCUCUGAGGGUCGGAGACACCGCUCCUUAGCACCCACGCAGAACAACCUGAGGGUCCCAGGGGGCUCUGGAGAAAGUGGGGUGGGAGGAAGACUUGGCGCCUUCCUAGGGAAGGAAAUGAGCGCUUCAUCUUGAUUCUCCGAGAAGUGUCCGAGAAGUGCUUUAAGUGUGUUUGCAUGCGCCAGGCGGUGGGCAGCGGGGCCCUGUCCAGCCCUUUCCUGCCAUCCUUCCCCAAGUGAUGUCCACCGCCUUGCCAGCGACCUGCCUGUCAUGCCCGGCCCAGUUAGGCCACAGCUUCCCACGUGCUUGCUGACAUACAUAUGCCUGUGUGUGGUGUCUGUUGCUGUGUCGUGAAACUGUGACCAUCACUCAGUCCAAACAAGUCAGUGGCCCUCGAGGCCACAGUUAUGCAACUUUCAGUGUGUGUCAUAACGGUGUCAUUGCUUUUUAAACCCGAUAACUCUUUAUUUUAGUAAAAUGUCCCAGGAGUCCUCGAACCUACGCGGACUUGCAGAGGUUUUAUUUUUUGGCCUUAGAAUCUGCGGAAAUUAGGAGGCACGGAGCGCAGCGCAGCAGCCUCGGCCCCGGAUUGUGUUUGCCUUAGCGGAUAUGUUUAUACAGAUGAAUAUAAAAUGUUUUUUUCUUUGGG